GGAUACGUCACCUUAACGACCGGUUACACCGAACGGUCCAGUUUACCAAUUAAAUGGGCCGAAUUAUCAAACUGGUCUAACUUUAUUGGGCUCGAGGCCCAUCAUGUCACAAAUGUGAAUAAAUGAACAAUAUCAUAUAUCACGUAUCAAAUAAUAUCCCAACAAAAAUAUAUCAAGUAAGUUUGUUUAUAUUUCAUUCUGUUUUAUUCUGUUUAUAUUCUAUUGAUCUCAUAUCAAUCCAAAACCUAUAAAUAAAGAACCAAGGACUCCAAACACACACGGUACGUUCACAUUCUUUCAUACUCAUA
rnacentral:lncRNA from 1 species